rnacentral:rRNA from 1 species
UGAAUACGAGACGCUAAGGCGUCGAAGUAGUGUAUGUCAUACUUCCAAGAAAAGCUUGCACUGUCAUAGAUAAAAAACGCCUGUACCAUAACCGACACAGGUGGGUAGGUAGAGUAUACUAAGGGGCGCGAGAUAACUCUCUCUAAGGAACUCGGCAAAAUAACUCCGUAACUUCGGGAGAAGGAGUGCCUUAUUCGUAAGGUUGCAAUAACAAGAUCCAAGCAACUGUUUAUCAAAAACACAGGUCUCCGCUAAGUCGUAAGACGAUGUAUGGGGGCUGACGCCUGCCCAGUGCCAGAAGGUUAAAGAAGUUGGUUAGCAAUUGCGAAGCUGAUAACUGAAGCCCUGGUGAACGGCGGCCGUAACCAUAACGGUCCUAAGGUAGCGAAAUUCCUUGUCGGGUAAGUUCCGACCCGCACGAAAGGCGUAAUGAUUUGGAUACUGUCUCGGAGAGGGGCUCGGUGAAAUAGACUUGUCUGUGAAGAUGCGGACUACCUGCACCAGGACAGAAAGACCCUAUGAAGCUUUACUGUAACUUGAAAUUGAAAUUGGACUUUAUUCGCGCAGUAUAGGUGGGAGGCGUUGAUUAUAAUCUUGAGGGAUUAUUGGAGCCAUCAGUGAGAUACCACUCUUGUAAUGUUAGAUUUCUAACUUUGAAUCAUUAUCUGGUCAAAGAACAGUUUCAGGCGGGCAGUUUGACUGGGGCGGACGCCUCCUAAACGGUAACGGAGGCGUACAAAGGUUUCCUCUGAACGGUUAGAAAUCGUAUCUAGAGUGUAAAGGCAUAAGGAAGCUUGACUGUGAGACCUACAAGUCGAGCAGGGACGAAAGUCGGUCUUAGUGAUCUGACGGUACUGAGUGGAAAGGCCGUCACUCAACGGAUAAAAGUUACUCUAGGAUAACAGGCUGAUCUCCCCCAAGAGUUCACAUCGACGGGGAGGUUUGGCACCUUGAUGUCGGCUCAUCGCAUCCUGGGGCGGUAGUACGUCCCAAGGGUUGGGCUGUUCGCCCAUGAAAGCGGUACGCGAGCUGGGUUCAGAACGUCGUGAGACAGUUCGGUCCAUAUCCGGUGUAGGCGUUAGAAUAUUGAGAGGAGCCUUCUUUAGUACGAGAGGACCGAGAAGGACAUACCUCUGGUGUACCAGUUAUCGUGCCAACGGUAAACGCUGGGUAGCUAUGUAUGGAGUGGAUAACCGCUGAAAGCAUCUAAGUGGGAAGCCCACCUCAAGAUAAGUAUUCUCA